AAAGCCAGUGAAACACCGCCCUAGUUAUUGGAAUAUAUAUUUUUAUUCACUUGUCCCUGAUAGGACCACCGAUCUGUAACGGCUUCCUUCACUAGCAGCCGUGGAUUCCUUUCAAGGGUUUCUAGAAAUUAGGGUUCCCAACAUGUUCUUUUCUUUCCUUGUUCUUAAUCGAUUGCUGAGGUUUUCCUGUCUGUUUGGAUCUGCUCCUAUUGUUCACUCUCCCAUGAACUGUGUAGAUAGUAUCUUCUUCUUUCUAUCGCCGCCGGUUUUAUUCCGAUUGCUUUUGCCCUCCCGGUUCCUUCUAGCCAUGGCUAUGAUUUAUGGUUCUCUCUUCUCUGGUCUUGGCACGAUUGAGAAGAUCUUCACCUCGUAUGAUUGUUCCGGCGAGUCUUGAUCUCCGUAUGAUUGUCUAUGUGGUGGGUGAAGCUUGGAAGAUUUUUGAUCUCCACUGUUGUUGAUGUUCUUAUCAUCAAUUCAUAUGGAGGUAGUUCAGAGCUUCAGAGAGGUGCUGGGGUUCACAGAAGAUCAGAUCUCAUCCUUCGAGAGAUUUCUGGCUUGGUUUUAGGUUCUGUUUCAAUGCCGUGAAUGUUGGGUGAGAAGAUCGGUGGGUGGUGCAGAAAUCUCUUCUUACUUACGAGUGGUUAUAACUCCUGGAAGCUCAGUGAAUCCGAUGUUUAGAGAAGUGAGAUAGGAAAAGAGAGAGAUAGGUGAGGUAGUAAAGGAUGUAAAAGAGAUCGUUACAAAGCCCUAAGUGAUGCAAGGGCAUGAUAUCGAAUCCUCUUUGUCAUCAUCAGACCUUUGCCAUGUCAGGUGCGCUUGCAUGGCAGGUCACAAAAGUUAAUAAACAUUUAUCUUUUUUGGUUUCGUGGGGAAACCGCACGGGUUUUCUGCCCGGGGUCUCUCCAUCGUUGCGUGGCUCGCCUCUUCGCUUUUCUUUUCUUUUCUUUUCUUGGUAUCCGAACAUAAUCUCAGUGCUCCUCCACUGGGUUUCUGGUGGUACUUGCAAACUAGCGCUGCAAUCUGUAAAUGUACAUCUACAAACAACAGAGUUGUGGAACCUGUUCGAUGCGUUCAAAUUCCCAGUAGUUCAUUCACGAACGGAGUCGAAGAGGAACCAACUUGAAGCAUUUGAAAUCCCUGAGGUACAUUUGCGAUGCACCAAUCCCAGUCGUUCUAAUUUUUUAAUUCUGCAUUAGAUUUGUCACUUCACCUAAUCUCAGCAUUAUUGAUUAGAAUUAAGCAUAGAAUCUUGCAACUCCAUUAAAGUUUGCCUUAUAGCAUGAAAUAGUUCUAUGAAUCGUUUUUCCUGGAAAUAGCAACACUAGAUCUCUUCCCCCAGAUGAUUAAAAAUCUCCAAAAUCAGUGAAAAUGGUUCGUUCUUCAUCUAUGAACGGAUUUUCCUGGAAAUAGCAACACUCCCCAUCUCCCAGAUGAUUAAAAAUGUCCAAAAAUCAGGGAAAAUGGUUCCUUCUUUAUCUAUGGACGGAUUUUCUUGGAAAUAGCAACACUCCCCAUCCCCAGAUGAUUAAAAAUCUCCAAAAA